GGAGAGAUGUCCGAGUGGUUGAAGGAGCACGCCUGGAACGCGUGUAAGGUGCAAGCCUUCAAGGGUUCGAAUCCCUUUCUCUCCGCCA
rnacentral:tRNA from 8 species